UACGUAGGGGGCAAGCGUUGUCCGGAAUUAUUGGGCGUAAAGCGCGCGUAGGUGGUGGAUUAAGUUGUGGGUAAAAGGCAAUGGCUCAACCAUUGUAAGCCUGCAAAACUGGUUCACUUGAGUGCAGGAGAGGGGAGUGGAAUUCCCGGUGUAGCGGUGGAAUGCGUAGAUAUCAGGAGGAACACCUGUGGCGAAAGCGGCGCACUGGACCACAACUGACGCUGAGGCGCGAAAGCUAGGGGAGCAAACAGG
rnacentral:rRNA from 1 species